rnacentral:rRNA from 1 species
GACGUAGGGCGCGAGCGUUGUCCGGAUUUAUUGGGCGUAAAGAGCUCGUAGGCGGCUCGUUGCGUCGGCUGUGAAAACCCGCGGCUUAACUGCGGGCUUGCGGUUGAUACGGGCGGGCUAGAGUUCGGUAGGGGAGACUGGAAUUCCUGGUGUAGCGGUGAAAUGCGCAGAUAUCAGGAGGAACACCGGUGGCGAAGGCGGGUCUCUGGGCCGAUACUGACGCUGAGGAGCGAAAGCGUGGGGAGCGAACAGG